rnacentral:rRNA from 1 species
UACGUAGGGUGCAAGCGUUGUCCGGAAUUAUUGGGCGUAAAGAGCUCGUAGGCGGUUUGUCGCGUCGAAUGUGAAAACCCGAGGCUCAACCUCGGGUCUGCAGUCGAUACGGGCGGACUGGAGUUCGGCAGGGGAGACUGGAAUUCCUGGUGUAGCGGUGAAAUGCGCAGAUAUCAGGAGGAACACCAAUAGCGAAGGCAGCUCGCUGGGACGGUAUUGACGCUAAGGCGCGAAAGCGUGGGGAGCAAACAGG